rnacentral:rRNA from 1 species
GACGAACCGUGCGAACGUUGUUCGGAAUCACUGGGCUUAAAGGGCGCGUAGGCGGGCUGUCAAGUCUGGGGUGAAAUGCUGCGGCUCAACCGUAGAACUGCCUUAGAUACUGACGGCCUCGAGGAAGGUAGGGGCAUGCGGAACUGUAGGUGGAGCGGUGAAAUGCGUUGAUAUCUACAGGAACUCCGGUGGCGAAAGCGGCGUGCUGGACCUUUUCUGACGCUGAGACACGAAAGCCAGGGGAGCAAACGGG